rnacentral:rRNA from 1 species
CCUACGGGAGGCAGCAGUGGGGAAUAUUGCACAAUGGGCGCAAGCCUGAUGCAGCAACGCCGCGUGAGGGAUGACGGCCUUCGGGUUGUAAACCUCUUUCAGUAGGGAAGAAGCGAAAGUGACGGUACCUACAGAAGAAGCACCGGCUAACUACGUGCCAGCAGCCGCGGUAAUACGUAGGGUGCGAGCGUUGUCCGGAAUUAUUGGGCGUAAAGAGCUUGUAGGCGGUUUGUCGCGUCUGCUGUGAAAAUCCGGGGCUCAACCCCGGACUUGCAGUGGGUACGGGCAGACUAGAGUGUGGUAGGGGAGACUGGAAUUCCUGGUGUAGCGGUGAAAUGCGCAGAUAUCAGGAGGAACACCGAUGGCGAAGGCAGGUCUCUGGGCCACUACUGACGCUGAGAAGCGAAAGCGUGGGGAGCGAACAGGAUUAGAUACCCUGGUAGUCCACGCCGUAAACGUUGGGAACUAGGUGUGGGUCUCAUUCCACGAGAUCCGUGCCGCAGCUAACGCAUUAAGUUCCCCGCCUGGGGAGUACUGCCGCAAGGCUAAAACUCAAAUGAAUUGACGG